rnacentral:rRNA from 1 species
CUAAGUUUGAUGGCGACCGGCGCACGGGUGAGUAACACGUAUCCAACCUGCCGAUGACUCGGGGAUAGCCUUUCGAAAGAAAGAUUAAUACCCGAUGGCAUAGUUCUUCCGCAUGGUAGAACUAUUAAAGAAUUUCGGUCAUCGAUGGGGAUGCGUUCCAUUAGGUUGUUGGCGGGGUAACGGCCCACCAAGCCUUCGAUGGAUAGGGGUUCUGAGAGGAAGGUCCCCCACAUUGGAACUGAGACACGGUCCAAACUCCUACGGGAGGCAGAUG